UGCGAUGAGUCGAGAAAUCACGCAUUCUUUGCUUGCAAAGGGUGUCCGCGCAAGCGGCUAGGUGAAUUUGUCAGCAGGGCACAUAUGUCACCGUAUUGUGACGUGCUUGAUUUUGAGGGAAUGUGGAUUCC
rfam:Lactobacillus senmaizukei DSM 21775 = NBRC 103853 strain DSM 21775 Scaffold23, whole genome shotgun sequence.